rnacentral:rRNA from 1 species
UUGACCUCAAAUCGAGUAGGACUACCCGCUGAACUUAAGCAUAUCAAUAAGCGGAGGAAAAGAAACUAACAAGGAUUCCCCUAGUAACGGCGAGUGAAGAGGGAAGAGCUCAAAUUUUGAAUCUGGCGUCUUUGGCGUCCGAGUUGUAAUCUAGAGAAGUGUUUUCCGUAACGGACCGUGCACAAGUCUCCUGGAAUGGAGUGUCAUAGAGGGUGAGAAUCCCGUAUAUGGCACGGACUGCCGUUGCUCUGUGAUACACUCUCGACGAGUCGAGUUGUUUGGGAAUGCAGCUCCAAAUGGGUGGUAAAUGCCAUCUAAAGCUAAAUAUUGGCGAGAGACCGAUAGCGAACAAGUACCGUGAGGGAAAGAUGAAAAGCACUUUGGAAAGAGAGUGAAACAGUACGUGAAAUUGUUGAAAGGGAA